rnacentral:lncRNA from 1 species
UGCCAUUUCAAAGCUCCUCUAAACAUAUCUUGCCCCAAACAAGAUGAACAAAACUUGCCUCAACUGAGAGCAUUGGGCGCCAUCGACAAACCCAGUUUAGCUAGUUCGUGAGCUACUUUAAUACAAUGAAAUUACUUGAGACUUGAGAGAAAGUAUUUGGGGCUCCUAGAUAAAGAGCAUCAGUAGGAGCAAAGUCAGACCAUUGGUCUGCAAUGCCUUCUUCAGAUUUAAUUCAGUGCAUCGGUCUUCAAGAUCUUCCUGUUCCUGCACCAGCUGCAAAAAAAAGUUUCUUAAGAUGAACUGAUGGACCUAUCUAAGAUCGAGCCAAGCCUAUGCAUACAAAAGUAGAAAGGAAAAAAAAUCUCGGUUUUCUGUCCUGAUUCACAUCAAUCGACAGUGACUUUCAAGGCUGAACCAUUAACUGCACAUAGUCAAACAGCAGAAAGUAAUACUACGAAACAACAUCUUGAAUUUGUUUGAAGGAGGACAACGACCAUAUAGCAGGAAUGGUUCAUUGAUAUGCUUCCAGUAUAUGCCUAGUGCCUGCAGAUAAACAAAUGUGUCUGCCGAAUCAUGCCUUGUCCAGCGAAAAUGAACGGGGAGGAACUUUUUCGCUAAGUCCAAAUCAUCCUUCAAAUCAAAAUCUUCUGGUACAGCGCGAGACUACCUGCUUGCAUCCCCAAUAGUCAACCAAAUCACGAUUUCUCUUACAGAGUAAUAGGUGGAAUCAUUGACUUUUUCACCUGCAGGCUCAUACUUUUCUCUGAAUAACAGCUACAAAUUCUACUCUUAACUUUAACGACUCUACUGAUACAUGCAUCAGUAUUAGUAUCGCAGAAGAACCAUAAACAGCAACACAAUCUCAUGACUCCAUUAUCCUCCAUGGAUGCAGCUGCAGCUUUUUGCCUCCUGCUUAUUGUAGCCACUACAGCUUCCUGCUCCGUGUAUGCACAACAAACCAAUGUUGGCUGCACCACAAAAGAGAGGGAUGCACUGCUCUCGUUUAGAGCUGGCAUCACAAGUGAUCCACAGAAUCCCCUUGCCUCGUGGAGUGGCAAGGACUGCUGCCAGUGGAGAGGUGUCGAGUGCAGCAACAACACGUGCCAUGUCAUCAAGGUUGACCUCUGCAACAAAUUCUUCCUAGAUGACCUCUUUGCUCCAUUCUACUCUCCUAGUUUUCGCGGGAUGAACGGGAAGAUAAGUCACGGCUUGCUUACUCUGCGUCAUCUGAAGUACCUUGAUCUCAGUGGGAACCAUCUCGGGGGAGUAGGUAUACCCAUACCGAGUUUCCUGGGCUCCUUCCGGAGACUGAUAUAUCUCAACCUCUCUUGCAUGGAUUUUGAUGGUAUGGUGCCUCCUCAACUAGGAAAUCUUUCGAAACUGCAAUAUCUUGACCUUGAUAACACUUACUAUGAUUAUAGUGGUUAUGAUAAUGUUUUACAAAGUGAGGAUUUGUCAUGGUUACCACGUCUCCCUUUUCUAAGGUUUCUUGACAUGAGUGGUGUCAAUCUUAGUACCAUUGGCCAUUGGGUUCAAGUGGUUAGCAUGCUUUCUAAUUUAAGGGCUCUCCAUCUUCGUCGGUGCAAACUUGUUUUUACAUACACACCUCUUGUGCAUCGGAACCUCACAUCACUUAAGAUGGUUGAUCUAACAAGUAACAUGAUUGCCAACUUGAAUCCCGCCUACUGGUUUUGGGAUGCUGACACCAUCAGGCACCUUGACCUAUCAUACAAUUGGGUUGUGGGUCCACUUCCAGACGCAGUAGGGAAUAUGACUUCCCUUGAAGUACUUCAUCUUGGAGGCAAUCAACUUAGUGAUAUGAAGGCAAAAACACUGAAAAAUCUAUGCAAUAUGAGAGAGUUCAUUGAGUUCAAAUAGAAUCAACCAAGAUAUUUCAGAAUUUUUGCGGGGGUUGCCUUCAUGUGCAUGGACUAAGUUGGAGUUGUUAGAUCUAACAUCAACAAAUAUCAGCGGGGGAAUUCCGAACUGGAUAAACCAAUGGACUAAUCUGAGCAUUAUUCAACUCUCCGCUAAUAGGCUUGUUGGAUCAGUACCUCUUGAAAUUGGUAUGCUCAGCAAGCUCAGUCAUCUGCAUCUAGAUUACAACCAGUUCAACGGCUCUAUUCUAGAGGAACAUCUAGCCGGUCUAGUGAAUUUGAAGGAAUUGGACUUGUCUUACAACUCACUGCACAUGACGAUCAGGCCAAAUUGAACUAGUCCGUUUAAAUUGAAACUAGCUUAUUUCCCAGGUUGUAAAAUGGGGCAUCAAUUUCCUUUGUGGAUUCAAGGGCAGAGGGAUGUUAGUUUUCUUGACAUUUCUGAUGCGGGCAUAGUUGAUUAUCUCCCAGAAUGGUAUUGGAGUGUUUUUUCAAAUGUUGAAUACCUUAACAUCUCUUGCAACCAAAUUAGUGGAAGGUUACCAAGGUCACUAGAUUUAUGUCGUCAGCUGAGAUAUUUGACCCCAAUUCAAACAACCUCACAGGUACCCUACCACAGUUACAUAAGCAUUUGGUAGAACUUGACAUCUCCAAAAACUCUUUAUCAGGGCCAUUACCACGAAAAAUUAUCGCCCAAAACCUUACAGACUUAUUGCUUUCUGACAACUGUAUCAGUGGUGCUAUUCCAAGUUACAUUUGUCAAUUGCCAUUCUUGUCAGUUUUGGAUCUUGCAAAGAAUCAUCUCGAAUGACAGCUUCCCUUGUGUUCGAAACAAUCAUUCAUUUCAGCUCUGAUCUUGUACGAUAACCUGCUGUCAGGCAAAUUUCCUUCAGUUUUGCAGAGCUGCCCUGAUUUGAUCCUACUUGAUCUUGCGGACAACAAAUAUAUUGGAGAGUUACCAACAUGGAUAGCAAUUACCAAAACUGUCUUAUCUCCAGUUGCGGAAUAUUGGGGCCGCUUGGUUCCCCACCACGCUUCGCCACCGCCUAACGUACGGCACGCCACCAGAUAUUGGCUGCUGCUUGGUUCAGACCAUAACUGCGGCAGCCACCAGUCUCUGCAGCACAAAACCACGCCGCAGUGUGGCGCCGAUUUUUGGCGCCGGGCGUGGCAGGCUGUGGCUGCAAGCCAAACAGCCCCAUUAAUAUGUUCUCAGGAUCUAUUCCAGUUAAGCUCAUGGAGCUUGGGUACCUACAAUUCUUGGACCUUGCAUAUAACAGAAUAUCAGGCUCCAUACCUCAUUCGUUGGCCAACUUGAAAGCAAUGACCCAGGAUCAGGGUCACCGACAAACAUUUAAAAACCCUUUAUACUGGGGAUAUGGAAGGCCAGCUCCCCUGAAACAAUUCAUUUCCCAAAUAUGAUGACAGCCUGGAAGUGUUAUUGAAAGGCCAAUAUCUUAAUUACACUGGAAGCAUCAUAUACAUGGUUGCCCUUGAUCUCUCCACAACAAUUUAGUAGGGAAGAUCCCAGAUGAAAUAACAUAUCUUGUUGGGCUGAUGGGCUUGAACAUUUCCCAUAAUCAGUUGUCUGGUGAGAUUCCAGUGAAGCUUGGCCAACUACAAUCAAUGGAAUCUCUUGAUCUGUCAUGGAAUGAACUCUCUGGCGAAAUUCCUUCCAGUCUCUCAGGCAUGACAAUGUUAAGCAAGCUGAACCUGUCGUACAAUAAUCUCUCAGGAAGAAUACCCUCAGGGAAUCAGCUGCAAACACUAACCGAUCCAGCCUCUUCGUACAUUGGCAACAACUAUCUAUGCGGGCCUCCUGUUUCCAGGAACUGCUCAGCGCCCGAGGUGGCUGGACGUCAUCAUGAUGGGCAUCAAUCAGAUUCAGAUGUGAGGUAUUUCUAUGUUGGGAUGGCUGUAGGAUUUGUUUUGGGACUUUGGGUGGUCUUUGUUGCAUUCUUGUUUGCUAGGACGUGGAGAGCUGCUUAUUUUCAGAUGUUUGACAACCUACUGUGCGGACUAGAAAUUUCUGUGGCCGCAAGUUUUAGAAGGUGCCUAGGAAAACUGUAUUGAAAAUAAGGAUAAGAAUUACUACCUAUGUCUAAUUGCAUCAAUUUUGUAUGUACAUGAUGAAAAUUGGCAAUGAAGUUAAUUUUUAGUUCCACACUAUAUACUGCUUUAUAAAACAAAUGUAAGAUCUUCAAAAUUGCUGUCUUACUGUAGAGCAUGAAGGUAAGCAUUCCAUCAAGCAUGUGGUGGGCGUGCGGGGAGCGGUGAAGAAGACAUGAUUGAAUCAAGGAAGGAAAACAAAAUUGAACAAUCUAUCCCGUAUAAAGUUUGCACCUUGUCUGUUUGCUUACGCUGUUGCGGCAUCACCAGCUCAUCGCCACACCCUCCUGCUGCCUGGAUCACCCCGUCGGCGCUGUGUGUCUUGCCGCUUGCCCUACUCCGCAUCUUGCCGCCGGGAGUGAUGUUCAGCCGCAGGGAGCCGCAUGUUUGGAAUUUGGGCACCGGAUUGGGCCUCACGUAUACUGAGCUCGGUUGGGAGCAAUAUUUGACAAACGAGUGGUUCAGCCCAAGAC